rnacentral:lncRNA from 1 species
GUCAGAAUCAUCCAAGUGAAACAAAACCUGAAGCCCUUUAAAUAAGUGGUAUGGGAUCAAAAUCCGGACCCCUUUAAAUAGGCUGUUCGGUGCCAGAUCUCAAGCCAGCCAGAAGUGCACACUGUACCAGCAUCAACUGGAGCCUGAUCGUUUUCACCUGGCAGCACGGCACAGCAAAUGGCCAUCACCCCUCUCCUGCCUUGCACUGGCACCAGGGUUUUUUCUCUUCUGGAAGUGAAGGCAGAACAGUGCGAGGAGCUUGAUGGCUACCACAGCCAACCCAGGGUUACCCUUCUGGAGGAAGAGCAAUUGUGCAUAUCUGCAUCCAGGGUCUUCCAGGUGAUCACUACACAGAUUGCUGUACAGCCCAUGGGGCGGCCCUGCUCCUCCUGCACCACCACAAUGAUGUCUUU